CAAGUCCCAAAACCGAAUUCUAAGUCUGAAGAAUAGCACGUUAAUUAUAGUAGUGGUCUCGGUUCGAGUUCGUAAGGAGAUUAUCGAGGAAUCAAGAAGCUACAAAGGUAUGACUUCUAAAUUCGUUUAGAUGUAACUAGAGUAAGAUUCGAUCUCAAUUUCGUUGCGCAUGUAUUGUUUUCCAUCAUUGCCAAUAUGUUAUUUGUAGUUUAAUCUUGUGGUAAACUCUUGAUAAGUUGCUUUGCUUAUAACUCUUAUCGCGUUAGUUAAGUUAUUUCCAUCACCUGAUCAGUGCUUAUCGCCAACUACCUGAGAGGGCAAGUAGCAAGGAUAUGGCUAACGAGCAUCAGGAGGAGUUUGGAGACAAACUCUACCUUAGCGAGAUAACUUCCAUCAUUUGUACCCCAAAAGGAGGACAAGUGUGAGCAAUAGGCGUCGAGAAGUUGUUGUCCUUAAUGGCGAAGCUCUAUGCGUUUUAUAAGUGAAUCGUUAUAUACAUAUCUCGCUUAACUAGGUUGAGUCAUUUGUAGCCCAAAAGAAGGACAAAUGUGGAAUUUAUAGACUAUGAGAGGAGCUUGCCUUGAUCAUUAACUAGUUAUGAGAGUCAUAUUGCUUCAAGACUUUCAUGGUCUAAUCGCCUAGUCUUGCAUAGACAUUCUUUUAUCUAUUCUUCAUACAAGUUAGUUCGCAUCUCCAUUUUACAUCCAUCUAAUUCCCCUUUAUAGAAUCUCUAGAGUACAUAAGUAGUUUUAGUUCCGCUUUCAUUCAUUUAUUCAGUUAUUCAUUAUUCAUUAUUCUUUUAUACCGCCUAAUUGAUGUGUAAAUUCUAGAACUGAAUUUUGAUAUCAGUUCUUAGUAUUCGACUAUGGAUCAUCCAGAUAAACCUACUAUUUCGCUUAUACUUGGGCAAGCAAUAGAAAAACUUGUACCGACAAGAACUUAGCUUUAACAUAAUGAAUAGAGAUAUUUGGAGCAUUUUGCAUGCAAUGAUCAUGUCUGAAUGCAUAAUGAAGAGAUUCACAAUGAGCAUUUUGUAUGUAAUGAUCUUGAAUCAAUGACAUUAUGAUAAAUGAAAUGCAGUUUACCACACAAGUCAGGUCCCAUCGCACACAUCAAGAGUUUGUCACUUCUUGCCUCUAAUACUUGCCAAUUUUUUCCUAUUUUUCAAUAGCCAUGACACACUUUUUAUGGCAGUUUUUAUUCUUAACUUCCUUUAACACUUAAACUUCCAAACACUUCAAAGAACUUCAACUUUCCAAUGAUCUUGAGAAAUUUUAGAGUUUAAUAAAAUGUGGGCUAAGUAUCCACAUCUUUUCACUCCUUAAAGGCUCGUGAAAAUUUUGAGGAUGAAGUUUCAUAAGAGGGAGGUAAUUGUAAACCCUAUAACUUCCUUGAAUUAUUUUGCUAUCGUAGUCGGUUGAAAUUAAGUUAUUUUUAGUAUUUUAGAUUUUUUUUUUGAAAAAAAAUGAGAAUAGAGUGAGUGAUUUGGAAGGAAUAUGGGAAGUAGAGGAUUAAAUUAAGAAAAAAAAAAGGAAAGAAGGAUAAUGUAAUUUCUCCACCGCCAAAACCCUUUCGUUCUUGUUUUUCAUCAAUUUUUUUAGAAAGAGCUGAAGGAUGAAUCUGAAGAAGAUCUAAGGUAGAAGAAGAAGGUGAAGGUUGUGUUUUUGGGUGGAAAAAGAAGAAGAAAGGUGUGAAGGAUGUAGCAGCCAUGAGAGAAGCUUGGAACUCAUAAACAAUCUUUGAGUUUUUAGUUGGUUUGAGCUUCUUAGAAGGAAUUAAGAUAUAAGGUUAGUUUUAAUUGAAAGUUAACCCAUUUUCUAACAAAUGUUGUGAAGGAAGUUCGAGCAAAUACUGAAGUUUAGUUAAUGAUUUUUCCAAUUGAUUGAAAAUCCUUAAAUGUGAAUGUCUUUACGAUCAUGAGUUUAGCUUAGUUUUUUGUUGGAUUGUGAUGGUUAAUUUCUUUGAAACUUAUUUCUUUGAUAGAUAUAUAGUUUGAGUUUUCCAACUAGUUUAUUGGUUUUCUUAUCAAAGCAUUACACCAUUUUUUGUUUCCCAUUAGUUAUAUUUUCUGCUAAUUUGGUUGUUUAUAGUUUAUGCAUAUAUGGUAAUAGUUUGGUUGUAAUUGAAAGGAUUGGGAAGAGACAAUAAUCAAGAAAUAACUUGUUUAAGAAUUAGUAGAUGGUUAAAUGACUUGAAUUAAGAACUAUUUUGUGUAUUGAAAACUUAUUACAUCAAUAAGUUUUUUUUUUUCAAUGUGUUAUAAAAUAGUUCAUGAUUGCCUAUUUUCCCCUUAGGUUAUAAUUCUGGCUCCAUUUUGGGUAAGCUACCCGAAAAUGGCAAGGUUGGCUGAUGCAACUCCUGUGAUUCUUCCAACGCAUAUAGACUAUAACUUUCUUUUGAAUCCAAAGCUUCUUGAAUCAAAGAUCACAGAGAAAUCGAGGCUAUUGAUUCUUUUCUCUCCAUCCAACCUUACAGGAUCUGUUUAUCCAAAGGAACUACUUGAAAAGAUUGCUGAACUUGUUGCAAAACAUCCUAGACUUCUUGUGCUGUCUAAUGAAAUAUAUGAACACAUAAUUUACUCUCCAGCUACGCACAAGCUUUGCAUCAUUGCUAGGCAUGUGGUAAAGAGCUCUAACUAUUAAUGGGUUCUCUAAGGGCUUUACAAUGUCUGGUUGGCGACUUGGAUAUCUUGCUAGUCCCAAACCCUUUGUUUCUGCUUGUGGAAAAAUUCAGAGUCAAGUAUGUUUAAACUUUAGUAAUUCCAAACGAAGGUAUAUGGAUACUUUGAAUUUCUAUCUAGUGUUUGAGAAUUUGAUGUAAGGAUGAUGACUAAAGCCCCUAGGCAACAAAAAGUGUAAAGGGACUUCUAAAAAUAUGACUCUGAAUUUUUAUGUGUAAAGAGAUUAAGGUGGCUGCUUCUUUAGAUUCAAUGAUGAAUGUCUAGAUUUUAUUUA